rnacentral:rRNA from 1 species
AUUGAACGCUGGCGGAAUGCUUUACACAUGCAAGUCGAACGGUAGAGGGGGCAACCCCUCGAGAGUGGCGAACGGGUGAGUAAUAUAUCGGAACGUGCCCAGUCGUGGGGGAUAACGUAGCGAAAGUUACGCUAAUACCGCAUACGAUCUAAGGAUGCAAGCGGGGGAUCGCAAGACCUCGCGCGAUUGGAGCGGCCGAUAUCAGAUUAGGUAGUUGGUGGGGCAAAGGCUCACCAAGCCAACGAUCUGUAGCUGGUCUGAGAGGACGACCAGCCACACUGGAACUGAGACACGGUCCAGACUCCUACGGGAGGCAGCAGUGGGGAAUUUUGGACAAUGGACGCAAGUCUGAUCCAGCCACUCCGCGUGCAGGAUGAAGGCCCUCGGGUUGUAAACUGCUUUUGUACGGAACGAAAAGGUCUCUCUUAAUACGGGGGACUCAUGGCGGUACCGUAAGAAUAAGCACCGGCUAACUACGUGCCAGCCGCCGCAGUAA